UUACGACGCCAUUUUCAGCUCACUGUCGUGCUGCCAUGUCGUGUCGCGCUCAAUGUGUUCAGCACAUCAGUCGCCGGCGCAAUAAGUACCGAAAGUCGGUAACCGACUACUACUUACCUACCGAGUAUCGUAUUUUUUGAUUUUAUAACUUCACACGGAAAUAUCUCGGAAAUAUCUCGGAAAUGAUGAGAUUUACGUCAUUUUUUCAAAGAGUAAUUAUUAGAUAAGUAAGAGUACUUAGUUUUAGAUAAUAUUUUCUAUCGAUUGGCCUAGGUUUCUAUUGACCUGUACACAAAAAAAAAAUACAUUUCAUGUAUUUACAAGUUAAGAUAUGUUUGGCUCCAUACAAAAAGGUUCGAUAGGGCACCGUACGUAUACAGAAGGUGAUAUUUGUUAUUGAUACUAAUCAUCUACAUAUAUUAAAAAUGAAACGCCAUCAUCUUAAUGGCGCGCAAAAACGCAAACAGGCAGAGCUGAAGAAGAAAAAAAACAGAUGCACUCCCAAAAAUGAAAUUUUUUUUUCCAACCAAUCAGUUAGAAUCUGGUAAAGAUAAUAAUGAAUGUCAAGAAUCUCAAUCUUUAUCAUCUGCUUUCUUGAUAAAAACAGUACUACAGACGAUGAAAUAAAUAGCGAAAUUAAAACACCUGUUCCUGUUCCCGAUAAAUCUGAACCUGUUAUUGUUGCGAUUCCUGAAGUUUCAAAAAUUGAAAUCGUAAAUUCCAAUAAAAAGACAGAUGCUGGGCUGUGGACGGAA